rnacentral:rRNA from 1 species
UGGGGAAUUUUACACAAUGGGGGAAACCCUGAUGUAGCAACGCCGCGUGGAGGAUGACGGAUUUAGGUCUGUAAACUCCUUUUAUAAGGGAAGAAAUAUGACGGUACCGUAAGAAUAAGCACCGGCUAACUACGUGCCAGCAGCCGCGGUAAUACGUAGGGUGCGAGCGUUAAUCGGAAUUACUGGGCGUAAAGCGUGCGCAGGCGGUUUUGUAAGACAGAGGUGAAAUCCCCGGGCUCAACCUGGGAACUGCCUUCGUGACUGCAAGGCUGGAGUGCGGCAGAGGGGGAUGGAAUUCCGCGUGUAGCAGUGAAAUGCGUAGAUAUGCGGAGGAACACCGAUGGCGAAGGCAAUCCCCUGGGCCUGCACUGACGCUCAUGCACGAAAGCGUGGGGAGCAAACA